GUAAAACUAUGUAAUUAUUACUAAGUUAUAGAUAAGCACAAAUCUCAAUAAAUAAAUAUAAUAAUAAAAAAAUUGAUUAGAAUGAAAAAUGAAAAAAAAAAUUAAAAAUAGAAAUACUUAUUAACGUGCCACAUAAAUUACUCAUUCAAAUGUGAAUAAAAUACCAAAAUUGAUAAGAAUAUAAAUCACUACAAAUUAUUUAGGAUAUGUAUCUUUCUUCUUCAACCAACCAUUUUUUUUCUUCAUUGAAGAAAAGAUGAUAAUUCCAGAAAUAUUUUCUAUGUAGCUCUUCCGUCUCCAACAUCUUCGCUUUGAAUCUUCUAUAUACUCUUCCUCUGUCACAAAAUCUGUCAGCCACUGUCGCACCUUUUCUUGCGCGAUUUCUUUGAUCUUCCACCGUCACCUAUCUCUAACGAUUUCUCUGAGCCUAAAUAUUAUUGGUGAUUCUUUUUUUUUUUUUGCAUCAAGCAUUAAAUAUAUAUAUAUAUAUACACACAUUAAGUUGAGUUUAGUCUUUUUGUUUUUGUUUCUCUGAUAAUAAUGUUAUAUGUAAUAUUUUUUUCUAAGGUUUCCAGAAUUUGUGGUUUUUGGGUUCCUUGACUCUGUGAGUUUGAGACUUGCGAAUCACUUUGCUUGGUGGCUCAGAGGUGUCUCAGAUGCGAGUACAAAAAUCUUCUCUUGCAAAUGAUGAUUUAUACUCUUUGUCUCAUGGUCCAUUAGAACGAUACCUCAGUUAUCAAAGUUGUAUUUCAAUUGGUGUUCGAUUUCGAUGUAAAGAACGUGAUGAUAAUUUUCGUACAUAAUUUUCUGGAGUUUGCACCAAAGGGGAUCAUGAUAAUGAAAAUAUCAUAUAUUAUGGAGAUUUGAUUGAGAUUUUACAAUUGUCAUUCAUUUUUUAUCGAAAAGUUUUUCUAUUUUGUUGCAAGUGGUAUAACUCCAAUCCAAAAGGUGGAUCUAUUUUUGUGGAGCAUAAUUUGACUUCCAUUAGUCUAUCUACUAAUUGGUAUCUUGAUGAAACCUUCAGUUUAGCAACUCAAGCAUAAUUAGUAUUUUAUUUGAUUGAUUUGAAGCAUGGUUCAAGUUGGAGAAUUGUUCGAAAACUAAAUUAUCGAUCAAUUUAUAACAUUCCAGAAAUAUGUGAUGUGGCUGGUGAGUCAUUGAAUAAUGAUGUUUUUCAAGAAGAAGAAUCCUUUCAAUUGCCACCUUUUCAACCGAGUGAGGAUUUAAUUGAAAGUUCAUCUUUAUUACGUGAAGAUGUUGCUUCUUUAACUCUUUCAAGCGAAUUUCUUGCUCAAUUGAAUGUCAACAAUGAAAAUCAAUCGAUCAAUGAGGAAGCCAGUAUAGAUGAAGGCAUUGAACUAAAUGAGAAUUAUGAUGAUGGAAAUAUCUUCUUCAAUGAUGAAGAAAUAUGUUCUAGUGAUAAUGAUACAAAAAAUGAUUCAGAGGAGUUUGUUAAUGACGCAGAGUCUUAAAAAAAUCAAUUUUUUUAUCAUUGCACCUGGACGCCACUCCACUCGUUCCACUGCUCAUGCUCAACAUACUGAACCGGGUGAUUCCUCCACCAUCCAUGGUCGCACUAGUAGAUCCACCACUCAUGUCCAACCAGUCACUGACUCCACUAUCAUUCCUCCACAACAUGGUUGCAUCGUUCGUUCCACCAUUCAUGCACAACAAGAUGGAUAGGUCACUGAAUCCAUUGUCCCUGGUCAAGAAGUUGUUCGUACCACUUGAUCGACUGUUCAUAGUCAAUCAGUUGGUCGUACAACUCACUCCACUACUCAUUCUCAUUUACCUGAACUCGCCAUUCCUUCUCUUGUACAGAGUCAACAAGUUGAAUCAACCACUUCUUUUACUGUACAGAAUCAACAAGUAGGUUCUACUGCCCCCUCUAAUAAUGAUGGUGGGCAAGCCCAUGUGGAGACCCCUCCUACUAUUGAAGGGGAUGUAUCUCAUGCACCAUCUGAAUCAAGUGUUCCAAAUAGUAGCAAACAACGUGGACCUACUCGUGGAUUUGAAACUUCCAGUGUUGCUAAGGCAACUUCUACUGGAAAGUUGACUAUGAUUUUUGAUCCAGAGUGUCGUCAACCAAUUUGUGAUAAUGCUGAGAAAUUAAAUAAUGAGAUUGGGUUUAUUAUUCGCAAUCAUGGUAGGUUCAUUAUAAGGAGUGGACAUCGGUCCCAGAGGAGGUGAGAGCUCCAUUACGAAACUUUAUUUUGGAUUCAUUUGAUAUUAACUUGCUUGAUGUCACCACUAUAAAAUGUAUUGAUGAUCAAAUGAUAAAAGCUUGGAAGGGUUACAAGUACAAGUUACAUUCAUAUUUCAAAGAAAUUGGAGGAGAAGAAGAUAUUAACAUGGCAAAGGGCAAACGACAUCCUGAAUUAAAGGAAGACCACCAACAAGACUGAGAGAUAUUGUAUGAUCGUUUGUAUUCUAACGAAUUUAAGGAAAGAUCAUUGAAGAAUGCUACCAAUCAUUCUAAGAGAAAGUGGGAGUCAAGAAAUGGACGAGUCUCAACACCACAACAUCACAUUCGAUGUGGGAUGGUGUUAACAUCUUCCACUGGUCAAAUUGAGACUUGGCAUCUAAAACAUUAUGAUGAGAAGAAUGGAUCAUGAGCUGGACCAAAUUUACCAAAACUAUAUGUACUAAUUUUUAAUUUUAUAACUUAUUAUGAUUAUAAAUACUAAUUAGUUAAAAUAUAUAUUUAGGAUGAAAUGAUGGCUUUAAGGGCUCAACACCCUCUAGAAGAAUUUUCUGAUAAAGACAUUAUGGAAUGUAUUCUUGGACGUCGUUCUUUACACUUGCGAGGUUGGGGUCGAACUUUUUCUAGUACAACUGGAACUUCACAGCGUGAUACUACAGAGUCAGAUAGGCCAACAUAUGAGCAGCUAGCCCAACAUCUUGAUGAAGCAAAUAGUCGUCUUGAUUCUACAAAUGAUCAGUUGCGUAUAGUUAUGGAAAUACUCAUAAAGAACAAUUUCAUGCCACUGCCUCCAUCAGAUCAAUGUGCUGAUGCACAAAUUAGAAAUUCACCAAUGCUUGAUGAAGAAGAUGAUUCAUAAUAUUUUGAUGUUGCAGAAUCAGUUAGUUUAAAAUUUAUUGGUUAUAUGUUUCACUUUAAUAUUUUACACUAGACAAUUAUGAACAAUUUUAUAAUUAUAUGUCUUUAAUAUUUUAUUUUACACUAUUAUGAACAUUUUAUAAUUCUAUGCCUUUGGAAUUUUGUAUU